rnacentral:rRNA from 1 species
CUACGGGGUGCUGCAGUGAGGAAUAUUGCACAAUGGGGGGAACCCUGAUGCAGCAACGCCGCGUGGAGGAUGACGCAUUUCGGUGUGUAAACUCCUUUUAUAUGUCAAGAAAAUGACGGUAGCAUAUGAAUAAGCACCGGCUAACUCCGUGCCAGCAGCCGCGGUAAUACGGAGGGUGCAAGCAUUACUCGGAAUCACUGGGCGUAAAGGACGCGUAGGCGGGUUGGAAAGUCAGGUGUGAAAUCCUACAGCUUAACUGUAGAACUGCACUUGAAACUUCUAAUCCAGAGUAUGGGAGGGGGAGAUGGAAUUAGUGGUGUAGGGGUAAAAUCCGUAGAUAUCACUAGGAAUACCUAAAGCGAAGGCGAUCUCCUGGAACAUUACUGACGCUAAGGCGUGAAAGCGUGGGGAGCAAACAGGAUUAGAUACCCCCGUAGUC